rnacentral:rRNA from 1 species
GAUGAACGCUGGCGGCGUGCUUAACACAUGCAAGUCGAACGGAAAGGCUCCUGCUUGCAGGGGUACUCGAGUGGCGAACGGGUGAGUAACACGUGGGUGAUCUGCCCUGCACUUCGGGAUAAGCCUGGGAAACUGGGUCUAAUACCGGAUAGGACGAUGGUUUGGAUGCCAUUGUGGAAAGUUUUUCGGUGUGGGAUGAGUUCGCGGCCUAUCAGCUUGUUGGUGGGGUAAUGGCCUACCAAGGCGUCGACGGGUAGCCGGCCUGAGAGGGUGUACGGCCACAUUGGGACUGAGAUACGGCCCAGACUCCUACGGGAGGCAGCAGUGGGGAAUAUUGCACAAUGGGCGCAAGCCUGAUGCAGCGACGCCGCGUGGGGGAUGACGGCCUUCGGGUUGUAAACUCCUUUCGCUAGGGACGAAGCGCAAGUGACGGUACCUGGAGAAGAAGCACCGGCUAACUACGUG